rnacentral:tRNA from 1 species
GUAGAGGUAGCUCAUUGGUUAAGAGCACUUCUGGACUGCUCUUCCAGAGGUCUUGAGUUCGAUUCCCAGCAACCACA